UCGGGGGCAUAUGCGCAAUUG
rnacentral:piRNA from 1 species